rnacentral:rRNA from 1 species
CAGGACGAACGCUGGCGGCGUGCUUAACACAUGCAAGUCGAGCGGAAAGGCCCUUCGGGGUACUCGAGCGGCGAACGGGUGAGUAACACGUGAGUAAUCUGCCCUCCACUUUGGGAUAGCCACCGGAAACGGUGAUUAAUACCGGAUAUGACCUGUGCCCGCAUGGGUGUUGGUGGAAAGUUUUUCGGUGGGGGAUGUGCUCGCGGCCUAUCAGCUUGAUGGUGGGGUAAUGGCCUACCAUGGCUUCGACGGGUAGCCGGCCUGAGAGGGUGACCGGCCACACUGGGACUGAGACACGGCCCAGACUCCUACGGGAGGCAGCAGUGGGGAAUAUUGGACAAUGGGCGGAAGCCUGAUCCAGCAACGCCGCGUGAGGGAUGACGGCCUUCGGGUUGUAAACCUCUUUCGGUGGGGACGAAGCGAAAGUGAC